GAUUAUGAUUUGUACAGCUAGGAGAAUAUUCUUUUCAUUAAUUUAGGGAAGGGCAUUUCAGAGUUCAAGUUUAUUGGCUUUGGCUUUUCUCCUGCGGCCAUAGGAAGCAGGGAGUUCAAACUGAUAUUAGAAUGACUAUAGAUGUGGUUGUUUUUAUCAAGGGGGGGGGGGGGGAUCCACUUAUUUAUGGAUCUGGUACAGAAUGACCUUAAAUGUCAUGUUUGCUGGCAUGUUUAUGGUCUCCUUUAUCGGUGAGACAGAGAAUAUAUGGAGGCGAUCAAGUGCUAUCGAAAUGCACUGAGAAUUGAUACCGACAACAUUCAAAUUCUUCUUGACCUAUCACUCCUACAGUAGAUGAUGAUACCAGUAGUACACAAUCAUGGAAAACAUCUCUCACAUAACUUAAUGCCUCUUUGAAGGAUAUGAUGUACCAUGGAAGGCUUUUUUCCAAAAUCCUGCUUAUGUUUGGGCAUAUAUGUUGAAUUCUUUGGUAGUUGGGGUCACUAUAACUGUCUAUCAUAUGGCUUCACACAUUUUUUAGGUGCUGUGUUAGCAUUUAAUGCUUUAUUUUAAUUACCACAUGAUAGGUAAUUAUGUCAUCAUCAUACAG